rnacentral:rRNA from 1 species
UGGGGAAUCUUGCGCAAUGGGCGAAAGCCUGACGCAGCGACGCCGCGUGGGGGAAGAAGGCUUUCGGGUUGUAAACCCCUUUCAGGAAGGACGAAGCUACUCGGGUUAAUAGCCCAGAGGGUGACGGUACUUCCAGAAGAAGCCCCGGCUAACUACGUGCCAGCAGCCGCGGUAAUACGUAGGGGGCAAGCGUUGUCCGGAUUUAUUGGGCGUAAAGAGCGUGUAGGCGGUUCGGUAGGUCCGUUGUGAAAACUCGAGGCUCAACCUCGAGACGCCGAUGGAAACCCCCGAACUAGAGUCCGGAAGAGGAGAGUGGAAUUCCUGGUGUAGCGGUGAAAUGCGCAGAUAUCAGGAAGAACACCCGUGGCUAAGGCGGCUCUUCUUAGUACGGUACUGACGCUGAGACGCGAAAGCGUGGGGAGCGAACA